rnacentral:rRNA from 1 species
UACGUAGGGGGGCGAGCGUUGUCCGGAUUUAUUGGGCGUAAAGAGCUCGUAGGCGGCUUAGCAAGUCGGGUGUGAAAACUCCAGGCUCAACCUGGAGACGCCACUCGAGACUGCUAUGGCUAGAGUCCGGUAGGGGACCACGGAAUUCCUGGUGUAGCGGUGGAAAUGCGCAGAUAUCAGGAGGAACACCUAUUGCGAAGGCAGCUCGCUGGGACGUAACUGACGCUGAGACGCGAAAGCGUGGGGAGCAAACAGG